GGGGGUAUAGCUCAGUGGUAGAGCUUUCGACUGCUAAUCGAGAGGUCCCCGGUUCAAAGCAAGGUGUCCCCU